GAACCUGAACGCAUCAUUUGACUCCAGAACAAAGUGCAGUUUGUGGUUGUGACCGUGAACUAGACACGACAUGUUCAGGUGAAGGUACUUCGCUGUCAGCGAAGUUUGUUCUCAGCUUCAUGUAGUAUCACAGUGCAGUCACACCUGUCGCAGGUUACCUCAGAGAGACGACAGGUAAACUCAGGCAGGUUUGAUAAAAACAACAACACCAGAUUUUCUUAAACCCUGGACCUUCAAGGUGAAAAUCCAGAGUCCAGACCACUGGACCACAGAGGACUGAACUCAACUGACCUGGAAAGAACAAGGACCAGGUCUGUAAUCUGAUGGGGGGAGGCCUUUUUCAUUUCCAGCCAGUCCAUCACACCAGACUCCCGCUCCGUCCAUGAGACAGAAGCCAUUUUGUCGGCUCUAAAAUAGAAUAAAGAAUCCAUUAUUCAUGGCGGAGCCCUGGAGGAGCUCAUUAAACUCCACACAGCAGAGACGGCCUCGUCUUAAACGUAUCUCUGCUCGACUCAGACGAGUCGUCCUCGCUUUGAUGUGACGGAGAGAAUCAAACUGCUCCGAGUUCAGUUUUCAGCACAGAGUCAGCUCACAGUGUACGGAGGACGAAACACGACCAAUCACAAUAUUUAAUGAUAAACAGGCUGUGGAUAAAGAUCAGGAAAUGAUUCUCAAAGGAACUAAAAUAAAUUUGGAAUUUAUCAAAAUGGAAACUGACGGUCAGAGUCGACUGUUCUGUUAUUAAUAGAAAAAUGUUUUAUUUCAUCUUGAUAAACAUAAUAUUUGACUUUACAGUGAUGUUAUCAGUUUGUUUCACCUUUAGUUUCUAGGAUUAAUAAACAGAGUUUUAAACAUUAAUUUCAUGUGUUUACAAUCACAGAAUGUUUAACUUUUACUGUCACACGUAGUUAUUUAUCGUCAUGAUUAAUACUUUGUAGAAUUUAUUUUAGUUUGAUUUUCUCUUUAGGCAGAAUGAAAUAGAACAAGAAACUAUGGAGCCGUGUUCAGUGUGAGAAAAUGUAUUUGGCCACUGACUCUGAACAAAGUGUGAAAUACUCACCAGUGAAUAUUCAGCAGCUGAAGCUUCACCACAGCUGGUUCUGGACAUAUUUUAGUUGGUGGGACAGUUAAAGUCCUGAUGAGGAGGCAGAGACCAGCUACCAGGAUUUUGACCUUUGACCCUGAGCCUCUGACAGUCUGACAGUGAUGUUUUUAUUCACAGUGAGAAAGCUCAGAAAAAUCAGCCUCCUUCCAAAUAUAAAUCACUUUUUCAUAAUAUUCGUGCGCUGUGUGUAAAUACCUGUGUUUGACCUGUUGGGCGUCUCUUCACCUGCUGCAGGGUUUAAUCCUGGUUCCUCUCACACACAGUUCAUUUAGUUUCCUCCAGUAGUUAAACACUUGACCAAACGCUUUUAUUCAGAUUUUUGGCUCCUGUUGUUUGUCCAGUUCUGCUGUUUUCCCUCAGCUCCCCCCUCGACAGCUCAGACCUUCAGCUGUAGUAAAACUUUAAAACUGUCCAUCGCUUCACUCUGUUCUGGAUCCAGUUUAGAACUGAACUCUAUAAAAGCCAAGUAGUGAGUUUAGGUCAUAAUUAAAUUAGAGAGGGUGUAAUAUUAUCAGUGUGUGUUUCUCUGGCUUUAGUUCAGAUGUCCAUCAGACACUAAAACUGAUUUUCCUUCUGCAUUUUAUACCUUUUCCACUUUGUUCUCCAUGUUUUAUUCAGGCUCUUCGUUUGUAUCUCCUCUUCAGUUUCUCUGACAUGUUUAUUCAUCAUUUUAUCUAUUUUUAAUGUCGUGUUUUAUCC